AGCAGCGUGGCUCAGUGGAAAGAGCCCGGGCUUGGGGGUCUGAGUCAUGGGUUCGAAUCCCAGCUCUGCCA
rnacentral:tRNA from 1 species